AAGACAGGGUAACACACAACAAACAAGAAGAGCGAGGAUGAUUAUCGUUAUUAAAAUGGCAACACCUAUUUGGGCCAGAGCACCUUGCCAUCCAGUCAUCCAUCCAAACCAUCUUUCCCAUGGAUCUGCGGUCCCAGAAUUUCGUUUCAGCUCAUUGGACAAACUCUUUAACUUUUCUAUUGCCAACGUUACCUUACCAUUAGGGCCUGUAUUAUCUGGAAUAUAGGUACAGCAUGUUAUGGUGUCUGGGAGUAUUUUACAUACUCUCCCUUUUUCUGCCAAAAUCAUUUUUAAGCUUAUUCUAUUCUGGAAGGUCAUCUGAGAGGUAGCUUGUAACCGCCCUAUCCCACCAUAUAUCCCAUAACAAGUAUAGUUCCCGGGAUAUAUAGUAAUGCCUUCGUCUGGGCAUAAUAUUUUUAGUAAUGAUUGGGUAUUAAGUUUCCAUGACUCGCAUGCUGACCGCUUAGGUUUAAAUACAGUGUAGAGACUUAAAACGCAUACUUCAUAUCUGGAGGAAGGUUCAGGUAUACUGUACCUGGGUGAGGCCUCGCUCCUCUGCAGACAUAGCAGUUAGACUUGUUAUGUUUAGUAGCAUUGUAUUUCAUCCAUUCAAGUCACAAGUUAGUGUCAGAGAAACCUGUCUCUACAGCCCUCUUAUCCUCAAAUAUGGGAUGACUACCAUGUCUUUUAAAGUCCUAAUGUGUGGUUUGAGGGGAUUAACAGUCAUGUGCGUGGCACCUACCCAUUCAGCUGAGUCAUACAUGUCCUGUAAGAAAAAGGUCUCCUGUUUAUUGUAUAAACCUCUUCCCUUCCAAUUCAGAUUUUAUUAGCCGUAAUGCUUGGGAGAAUAGAUUCAAACUUAGUUUCUUACCUUAAAAUCAUUUGGUACCCCCCUUGACACCCCUAUGGCAUUAAUAUACAUAUAUAUAUGUGUGGGUAAAACCACCCUUUAUAGGGGUACUCCUUUUUGUCCUGAAGCAUGAAUGAGGUGUGUCAAGAGUACCUUGGGGAUUGUCAUGUGUUAUGUGUAUGGACAUAAUAACCUAGGCUAGGGCACAUUUACUUAUUCUUAG